rnacentral:rRNA from 1 species
UUAUCUCUGUAGAGUCUGCAUAUCAAUAAGCGGAGGAAAAGAAACUAACAAGGAUUCCCUUAGUAACGGCGAGUGAAGCGGGAAGAGCUCAAAUUUGAAAUCUUCAAGGUUCUACCUUGACGAAUUGUAGUUUAAAGAAGUGUUUUCUGUUAGAUGAGUAGCAAAAGUUCCUUGGAAUGGGACAUCAUAGAGGGUGAGAAUCCCGUAUUUGGUUAUUCAUUCUAGCUUUGUGAUACACUUUCAAAGAGUCGGAUUGUUUGGGAAUGCAGUCCAAAAUGGGUGGUAAAUUUCAUCUAAAGCUAAAUAUUGGCGAGAGACCGAUAGCGAACAAGUACCGUGAGGGAAAGAUGAAAAGAACUUUGAAAAGAGAGUUAAACAGUACGUGAAAUUGUCAAAAGGGAAGCGUUUGACACCAGUGUUGUUUUUCCGAAAAUCAAUUACGAAUGGCUUGAUUUUGUGUUGUAUUGACCUUAUCAGCUUUCUUCACUUUUUUCGAGUCUUUCUUAAUGCACUUUUUGGUUAACAAGUCAACAGCAAUUUCUUUUGUUGUAAAAGAGUAUUCGGAAGGUGGCUUUCUUUUCGGAGAAAGUGUUUAUAGCCCUAUACUUCUACAAUCGGAGAGAUUGAGGUCUGCAGCGUAGAUCCUUCGGGGUUAGAUACACUUGUGCUAAGUUGUAGCUUUUCAUAGACAACUUGUUGACUAUGUUUAGUCAUGCGGCUUACUCGCUUGUGCUAUUUUACCUACGCUUAGGAUGUUGACUGAUAUGUAGUCGUA